rnacentral:rRNA from 2 species
GUCCCUGCCCUUUGUACACACCGCCCGUCGCUACUACCGAUUGAAUGGUUUAGUGAGAUCUUCGGAUCGGACCCGCUACGUCCGGCAACGCCGUGGCGGACACCUGAGAAGUCGAUCAAACUUGAUCAUUUAGAGGAAGUAAAAGUCGUAACAAGGUUUCCGUAGUGAACCUGCGGAAGGAUCAUUA